CUUAAAAAGGUUAAGAGGGGGUUGACCCAGUCAAAGAAGCCACACUCGGUUUGACCCGAGCCCAGACUUCCCUCUUCCUCUCCGCCUGCCUCCGGCGUCCUCCGCAUGACGCCGCCGUAUCCGGCCAUCCCUGGCAACGAGACCAUCUUCAAUCUCUUCCUCUCCUUCUCUUCUAUCUAAACCCAGUCCACAUAUCUCGAUUUUGGUCCGAUUCAAAGUCAAAUCGAGGGAGAGAAGCCUCGGCUGUUUCCGGCGAGUCCUCGAGAUUUCCGGCCACGGCUUGACGAGUAAAUGGUAGGGUUUUGUUCCUUUCCUCUUCUUCUCCAAUUUCAUGUCUUCAAUCGUUUAAAUCGAGCCCUAACCCCUCUUCUGUGUUUUUCUGGGUUUCGGGUUCUUAGCUCCGACGUUGUGUUCUUGCCCUUCCGGUGAGCUUCCCGAGCUCCUAUGAGACCUGCAUACCUCGAGAGAAGCCCAGAUGUCUUUUGGUGGAGCUUUGGAGCUGCAUCGAUCCAGGUUCAAGCGGAGGUAAGGAGCUCAGCUGAGGUUGAGGUUCGAAAAGGAGGAGUUUCCUUCUUCAAUUGGUCGUUGUUUUGGAGAACAAAAGGUAAUCUCGUCUCCUUGAGCCUCUGGGUUAUUGUUGCUACGUUGUGGAGGUUUUUCCUUGAUAGUUUGGUUGCUAAAAGUGUUGUUGUGCUCUUGAAUGUCGAGAACUUGGUGUUUUAGAAAAUACGGGGAGGUUAUGGUGAAAUUCCGACAAAAGGUCGGAAUCCGGUAGAAUAUUCCGGCAAGUCGCUGGAAUCCGACGAAGCAGCAGAUCCGGCAGAGAGCUGAGAAGGUAGUUCUCGAAGUUAUUCUUCCUAACGCAAGUCGUAGUUUCCGGUUUAGUAAAAUCUGUCAUUUUAGGAAAGUUUCUAUUUAAGGGGACUUUCCCUUUUUGGAAACUUUCUAUUUAUGGAAACCCAUUUUGGGUGUCCUCAGUGAUUUAUGGUGUGAAAUUGUAUAGAUUCUAGUGACUGAGGAUUGUUUGGUUGGAGAAUCAUUUGUAAUUGAAUUAUUAAAAUGGUUGUUGGAAUUAAUUGGAUGGUUAGAGUAAUCAAGGUAACCCGAUUUGUUAAGUCGAAGGUGAAAGUGGAAAUUGUCGAGGUAUCGUUAGUUGGCUAACCAUAAAUCAGUUGGUCAAACGUGGGUCAAGCCUGGUCAAUUUCUGGUCAACCUAGGAGAUUCUAAUCGAACUAGGAAGAAGUUGAAUAGUUAAUUUUUAUGGGGUCCGGUCUGACCGAUUUGUUCUUCUGUUUAUUAUCAGACGUGGGUUUUGGCUAGAGAGUGUGAAUAUUUGGAGGCAGCGCUCGAGGAGUAUUCCGAGCAUUGGAAGGCUUAGGCCUCAUACUGUGAGUGGACUUUUGUUUUAAAUAAAAUGCAUGCUAUAGUUCAUAGAUGAACAAUUAAUGUUGUGGUGAAUUUUGACGUCAUUUUAUCUUGACGAUUUUAUUUCUCUUGGACAGUUACCGAAAAUGGGAUUUUCGGUGGAUAUAAAUAUGUAUUUAUGAGAGAGUAUGUAUAUAAAUGCUAGCUAGAGCUAUGUGUCUGUCCACCUUAAUGGCGUAGCAUAUAGCCGCAUUAUGGUGUGACGUGAGCGUUGGAUGCGAGCGUAGUAGCCCUAUAUGAGUGCUUAAUUCAUAUAGGGGGUAUGGGCACAUAUUUAUAUACCCGUCUGUCCACCUUAAUGGCGUAGUGUAGCACCGCAUUAAGGCGUGACGUGAGCGUUGGACGCGAGCGUAGUAGCCCUAUAUAGACCCAUGAAUUUAUAUAGGGAGUAUGGACGUGUGUAAAUACAUACAUAUAUUAUACAGCCUGAGAGGCUCGAUAUUUAUGAGAUAAAAAGUUUUAUCGCUUGCAACAUGCAUUCGAUUUUCCUUGGAAAUUUAUUUGGGGAAACAUAAAUAUUUUAUUCGUUAAUUUAUUUUUGUCCACUCACUCUAACGUUUCGUUUCCAAAUGUUUUCCCCUGGGCUCUUCGUUUUAAAAAUGCCCAGUUUACAGAAUUGCAUAGUUGAGGUCGGGCGUACGUGGAGAAGAGGCAUAGUCAAUAGUAUAGCUUCCGCUCAUUAUAUUUCUAGUUCAUCUCCUUUUAAAUAGAGUUGCUCUAAACUGUGGUUGUUGGUUAUGAGAUUAAAUUGUUAGAGUUAGUAAAUAAAUUGGGAGAUAUCGUGUUUUGGGGAGCACGAAGGCUCCAGGAGUUUAAGGUUGGGUUUAGAUUUUCAGAAGUGUAUGCAGGUAUUAUUUAGAAAGGGUCGUCCAUUUUCAAGGGAGGUUAUGUCGAAUUUUUGGUAAACUUUCCUUGGAGGUGGUCCCCGCAGGAUUUACUUUGUAUUUCAGGGUGAAAUUUGGGGUGAGUCCUGACAAUCAGUCUUACUCGAUCCCUUUCGUUAAAUCUCAUUAUCUUUUGGGAAAAUGCCCAAAUGCAUAAAAAC
rnacentral:lncRNA from 1 species